AUAUCAAUAAGCGGAGGAAAAGAAACCAACAGGGAUUGCCUCAGUAACGGCGAGUGAAGCGGCAACAGCUCAAAUUUGAAAUCUGGCCUCACGGUCCGAGUUGUAAUUUGUAGAGGAUGCUUCGAGCAUGGUCUGGCCUAAGUUCCUUGGAACAGGACGUCAUAGAGGGUGAGAAUCCCGUAUGCGGCCAGGUGCCUACGCUCAUGUGAAGCUCCUUCGACGAGUCGAGUUGUUUGGGAAUGCAGCUCAAAAUGGGUGGUAAAUUUCAUCUAAAGCUAAAUAUUGGCCAGAGACCGAUAGCGCACAAGUAGAGUGAUCGAAAGAUGAAAAGCACUUUGGAAAGAGAGUUAAACAGUACGUGAAAUUGUUGAAAGGGAAGCGCUUGCAACCAGACUUGCGUGCGGCCGAUCAUCCGGUGUUCUCACCGGUGCACUCGGUCGCGCUCAGGCCAGCAUCGGUUUUGGUGGUUGGAUAAAGGCCCUAGGAAUGUAGCUUCUCUCGGGGAGUGUUAUAGCCUAGGGUGCAAUGCAGCCCACCGGGACCGAGGACCGCGCUUCGGCUAGGAUGCUGGCGUAAUGGUUGUAAGCGACCCGUCUUGAAACACGGACCAAGGAGUCUAACAUCUAUGCGAGUGUUUGGGUGUCAAACCCAUACGCGUAAUGAAAGUGAACGGAGGUGAGAACCCUUAAGGGUGCAUCAUCGACCGAUCCUGAUGUCUUCGGAUGGAUUUGAGUAAGAGCAUAGCUGUUGGGACCCGAAAGAUGGUGAACUAUGCCUGAAUAGGGUGAAGCCAGAGGAAACUCUGGUGGAGGCUCGCAGCGGUUCUGACGUGCAAAUCGAUCGUCAAAUUUGGGCAUAGGGGCGAAAGACUAAUC
rnacentral:rRNA from 1 species